UGAACAAGUUAUAAACCUGACAUGACUACAUACUAUCAGCUCAUAUACUAUAAUGAUGACUUCACGUGAUGUGGCAUAUGGCAUAUAUAAUGUUAUGGGUUGGGUGGAAAGAUUCGAGAAAGAGGUGUAUAUACGACUCUUCCAAAAAAGUGCCAAUUUCUCUCCCAACAUCUUUGGUGUGUCGUCUAGCAGCAUUGAAGCAUCACACUCUUUCACAAAUUGAGGCAUGUGCUAUGAUAAAAGCUAGGUUGGAGAUUUGCAAAAUUAAAAUUACCGUCACAAUAUGUAGGAGAAAGAAGACAACUAGAGAUAUCAAAUCGUUGCCAGGGCACUCAUGUCAUUGUAGAACAGAGAAAAAGAGGGACAAAACACCAGAGAGUUGGGGACAACACGGAGCAAGUGCAUAUCAACUAUAUUUGAUCUUCACUUAUCAAAUCAACAAUAUCCCAAAAGUACGAAUAUUGAAAAGUACAUUUUUAAUUCUUCAUUUAGUUUGAUAUAUUGUUUACUCACAAUUUAUUACAUUCUUCAAAUUUGUUGAAGUUACAUUACUCAUUUUACUAAUAUGCAAAUUUCUCUAUCUUGUUGAUAUAAUAGUUUAAAAGUGUUGGUGUAGUUUGUAGAUAGAUCACCAGAGAUAUUUAAACUCAUCAUACAACUUGUUGUGCAUAUGCAACAUUGGUCA